GACGAACGCUGGCGGCGUGCUUAACACAUGCAAGUCGAACGGAAAGGCCCUGCUUUUGUGGGGUGCUCGAGUGGCGAACGGGUGAGUAACACGUGAGUAACCUGCCCUUGACUUUGGGAUAACUUCAGGAAACUGGGGCUAAUACCGGAUAGGAGCUCCUGCUGCAUGGUGGGGGUUGGAAAGUUUCGGCGGUUGGGGAUGGACUCGCGGCUUAUCAGCUUGUUGGUGGGGUAGUGGCUUACCAAGGCUUUGACGGGUAGCCGGCCUGAGAGGGUGACCGGCCACAUUGGGACUGAGAUACGGCCCAGACUCCUACGGGAGGCAGCAGUGGGGAAUAUUGCACAAUGGGCGGAAGCCUGAUGCAGCAACGCCGCGUGCGGGAUGACGGCCUUCGGGUUGUAAACCGCUUUCGCCUGUGACGAAGCGUGAGUGACGGUAAUGGGUAAAGAAGCACCGGCUAACUACGUGCCAGCAGCCGCGGUGAUACGUAGGGUGCGAGCGUUGUCCGGAUUUAUUGGGCGUAAAGGGCUCGUAGGUGGUUGAUCGCGUCGGAAGUGUAAUCUUGGGGCUUAACCCUGAGCGUGCUUUCGAUACGGGUUGACUUGAGGAAGGUAGGGGAGAAUGGAAUUCCUGGUAGAGCGGUGGAAUGCGCAGAUAUCAGGAGGAACACCAGUGGCGAAGGCGGUUCUCUGGGCCUUUCCUGACGCUGAGGAGCGAAAGCGUGGGGAGCGAACAGGCUUAGAUACCCUGGUAGUCCACGCUGUAAACGGUGGGUACUAGGUGUGGGGUCCAUUCCACGGGUUCCGUGCCGUAGCUAACGCUUUAAGUACCCCGCCUGGGGAGUACGGCCGCAAGGCUAAAACUCAAAGGAAUUGACGGGGCCCCGCACAAGCGGCGGAGCAUGCGGAUUAAUUCGAUGCAACGCGUAGAACCUUACCUGGGUUUGACAUGGAUCGGGAGUGCUCAGAGAUGGGUGUGCCUCUUUUGGGGUCGGUUCACAGGUGGUGCAUGGCUGUCGUCAGCUCGGGUCGUGAGAUGUUGGGUUAAGUCCCGCAACGAGCGCAACCCUUGUUCACUGUUGCCAGCACGUUAUGGUGGGGACUCAGUGGAGACCGCCGGGGUCAACUCGGAGGAAGGUGGGGAUGACGUCAAGUCAUCAUGCCCCUUAUGUCCAGGGCUUCACGCAUGCUACAAUGGCUGGUACAGAGAGUGGCGAGCCUGUGAGGGUGAGCGAAUCUCGGAAAGCCGGUCUCAGUUCGGAUUGGGGUCUGCAACUCGACCUCAUGAAGUCGGAGUCGCUAGUAAUCGCAGAUCAGCAACGCUGCGGUGAAUACGUUCCCGGGGCU
rnacentral:rRNA from 1 species